rnacentral:misc_RNA from 1 species
UGUCACCUGAAUUUCUGACCUUAG